rnacentral:rRNA from 1 species
CUAUCCCUACGGGAGGCAGCAGUAGGGAAUCUUCCACAAUGGACGAAAGUCUGAUGGAGCAACGCCGCGUGAGUGAAGAAGGGUUUCGGCUCGUAAAGCUCUGUUGGUAGUGAAGAAAGAUAGAGGUAGUAACUGGCCUUUAUUUGACGGUAAUUACUUAGAAAGUCACGGCUAACUACGUGCCAGCAGCCGCGGUAAUACGUAGGUGGCAAGCGGUGUCCGGAUUUAUUGG